rnacentral:rRNA from 1 species
AGUGAACGCUGGCGGUAGGCCUAACACAUGCAAGUCGAACGGCAGCACAGUAAGAGCUUGCUCUUACGGGUGACGAGUGGCGGACGGGUGAGGAAUACAUCGGAAUCUACUUUUUCGUGGGGGAUAACGUAGGGAAACUUACGCUAAUACCGCAUACGACCUACGGGUGAAAGCAGGGGAUCUUCGGACCUUGCGCGAUUGAAUGAGCCGAUGUGGAUUAGCUAGUUGGCGGGGUAAAGGCCCACCAAGGCGACGAUCCGUAGCUGGUCUGAGAGGAUGAUCAGCCACACUGGAACUGAGACACGGUCCAGACUCCUACGGGAGGCAGCAGUGGGGAAUAUUGGACAAUGGGCGCAAGCCUGAUCCAGCCAUACCGCGUGGGUGAAGAAGGCCUUCGGGUUGUAAAGCCCUUUUGUUGGGAAAGAAAAGCAGCAGGUUAAUACCCCGCUGUUCUGACGGUACCCAAAGAAUAAGCACCGGCUAACUUCGUG